rnacentral:rRNA from 1 species
GGGCCCGCACAAGCGGUGGAGUAUGUGGUUUAAUUCGAUGCAACGCGAAGAACCUUACCAGGGUUUGACAUCCUGCGAACCUCUGGGAAACCGGAGGGUGCCUUCGGGAACGCAGUGACAGGUGGUGCAUGGCUGUCGUCAGCUCGUGUCGUGAGAUGUUGGUUAAGUCCCGCAACGAGCGCAACCCACAUCCCUAGUUGCCAGCAGUUCGGCUGGGCACUCUAUGGAAACUGCCCGUGAUAAGCGGGAGGAAGGUGUGGAUGACGUCAAGUCCUCAUGGCCCUUACGGGUUGGGCUACACACGUGCUACAAUGGUAGUGACAAUGGGU